ACGGGUGAGUAAUGUCUGGGGAUCUGCCCGAUAGAGGGGGAUAACCACUGGAAACGGUGGCUAAUACCGCAUAACGUCGCAAGACCAAAGAGGGGGACCUUCGGGCCUCUCACCAUCGGAUGAACCCAGAUGGGAUUAGCUAGUAGGCGGGGUAAUGGCCCACCUAGGCGACGAUCCCUAGCUGGUCUGAGAGGAUGACCAGCCACACUGGAACUGAGACACGGUCCAGACUCCUACGGGAGGCAGCAGUGGGGAAUAUUGCACAAUGGGCGCAAGCCUGAUGCAGCCAUGCCGCGUGUAUGAAGAAGGCCUUCGGGUUGUAAAGUACUUUCAGCGGGGAGGAAGGCGAUGAGGUUAAUAACCGCGUCGAUUGACGUUACCCGCAGAAGAAGCACCGGCUAACUCCGUGCCAGCAGCCGCGGUAAUACGGAGGGUGCAAGCGUUAAUCGGAAUUACUGGGCGUAAAGCGCACGCAGGCGGUCUGUUAAGUCAGAUGUGAAAUCCCCGGGCUUAACCUGGGAACUGCAUUUGAAACUGGCAGGCUUGAGUCUUGUAGAGGGGGGUAGAAUUCCAGGUGUAGC
rnacentral:rRNA from 1 species